UACAGAGGUCCCAAGCGUUGUUCGGAAUUACUGGGCGUAAAGGGCUCGUAGGCGGCCAACUAAGUCAGACGUGAAAUCCCUCGGCUUAACCGGGGAACUGCGUCUGAUACUGGAUGGCUCGAGUUUGGGAGAGGGAUGCGGAAUUCCAGGUGUAGCGGUGAAAUGCGUAGAUAUCUGGAGGAACACCGGUGGCGAAGGCGGCAUCCUGGACCAACACUGACGCUGAGUGAGCGAAAGCCAGGGGGGCAAACGGG
rnacentral:rRNA from 1 species